GGUAAUCUCAAUGUUGUUGCUUAUAUAAUCGCCAUGAUAUGGAUGGCAAGUUCCUACCCAAAACCGUAAAUUUUGGACUAUAAGUAAAGCGAUUUAGGAG
rnacentral:ncRNA from 2 species